UGACGUCAAGUCCUCAUGGCCCUUAUGGGUAGGGCUUCACACGUCAUACAAUGGUCGGUACAGAGGGUUGCCAAGCCGCGAGGUGGAAGCCCAAAUCCCUUAAAGCCGAUCGUAGUCCGGAUCGUAGUCUGCAACUCGACUACGUGAAGUCGGAAUCGCUAGUAAUCGCAGAUCAGCAUGCUGGCGGUGAAUUACCGGUUCCCGGGUCUU
rnacentral:rRNA from 1 species